GCGAAUGACUAGGGGUGUUGGGGACGAAAUGUCCUCAGCCCAUUCUCAAACUUUAAAUGGGUGAGGUGCCGGGCUUGCUUCGCUGAAGCCCCGGACGAGAAUCGGAGUGCCUAGUGGGCCAAUUUUGGUAAGCAGAACUGGCGCUGUGGGAUGAACCAAACGUCGAGUUAAGGGGCCUAAAUGGAUGCUAAUUCCGAUCCCAUGGAAGGGAGUUGCUUGCUAUAGACAGCAGGACGGUGGCCAUGGAAGUUGGAAUCCGCUAAGGAGUGUGUAACAACUCACCUGCCGAAGCAAGUAACCCCGAAAAUGGCAUGGCGCUCAAGCAUCCUCCCGAUACUCGACCGCCGGGCGCACUAUGGGCUGCGUCGAGGAGGUCUCGAGGCCCCGGCGAGUAGGAGGGCGCGGUGGUGAGCGUAGAAGGAUACGGCGCGAGCCGGUCUGGAGCCGCCACUGGUGCGGAUCUUGGUGGUAGUAGCAAAUGCUCGAGCAAGCCGAACCCUCGUUGACCGAAGCGGAGGAGGGUUCCCCGCCAACAUCGCUUGGUCGUGGAUAAGUCGGCCCUUAGCCCGAGGAUAGCUUCCCUCCGAUCCCCUGGAAAACGCCACAAAACAGUAGAGCACAGCCGAAAGACUCCCUGUUUUGGAGAGAGAGAGAGAGAG
rnacentral:rRNA from 1 species